AUUGAACGCUGGCGGCAGGCCUAACACAUGCAAGUCGAGCGGUAACAGGAAGCAGCUUGCUGCUUCGCUGACGAGUGGCGGACGGGUGAGUAAUGUCUGGGAAACUGCCUGAUGGAGGGGGAUAACUACUGGAAACGGUAGCUAAUACCGCAUAAUGUCGCAAGACCAAAGAGGGGGACCUUCGGGCCUCUUGCCAUCGGAUGUGCCCAGAUGGGAUUAGCUUGUUGGUGGGGUAACGGCUCACCAAGGCGACGAUCCCUAGCUGGUCUGGGAGGAUGACCAGCCCAACUGGAACUGAGACACGGUCCAGACUCCUACGGGAGGCAGCAGUGGGGAAUAUUGCACAAUGGGCGCAAGCCUGAUGCAGCCAUGCCGCGUGUAUGAAGAAGGCCUUCGGGUUGUAAAGUACUUUCAGCGGGGAGGAAGGGAGUAAAGUUAAUACCUUUGCUCAUUGACGUUACCCGCAGAAGAAGCACCGGCUAACUCCGUGCCAGCCGCCGCGGUAA
rnacentral:rRNA from 1 species